UACGUAUGGUGCAAGCGUUAUCCGGAUUUACUGGGUGUAAAGGGAGCGCUGGCGGCACGGCAAGCCUGAUGUGAAAGCCCGCGGCCCAACCGCGGGACUGCAUUGGGAACUACCGGGCUGGAGUGCCGGAGAGGUAGGCGGAAUUCCUAGUGUAGCGGUGAAAUGCGUAGAUAUUAGGAGGAACACCAGUGGCGAAGGCGGCCUACUGGACGGUGACUGACGCCGAGGCUCGAAAGCGUGGGGAGCAAACAGG
rnacentral:rRNA from 1 species